CAGUAGCCACGGGAAUACGGAGGGGGCUAGCGUUGUUCGGAAUUACUGGGCGUAAAGCGCACGUAGGCGGCUUGGUAAGUUAGAGGUGAAAGCCCGGAGCUCAACUCCGGAAUUGCCUUUAAGACUGCCGAGCUAGUAGGUGAGAGAGGUAAGUGGAAUUCCGAGUGUAGAGGUGAGGUUCGUAGAUAUUCGGAAGAACACCAGUGGCGAAGGCGGCUUACUGGCUCAUUCUAGACGCUGAGGUGCGAAAGCGUGGGGAGCAAACAGGAUCAGAUACCCCGGUAGUCCCUGUCUCUUAUAC
rnacentral:rRNA from 1 species